UACGUAGGGGGCAAGCGUUAUCCGGAUUUAUUGGGUUUAAAGGGUGCGUAGGCGGAUUUUUAAGUCAGCGGUAAAAUGUCCGGGCUCAACCCGGGCCGGCCGUUGAAACUGGGGAUCUUGAGUGGGCGAGAAGUAUGCGGAAUGCGUGGUGUAGCGGUGAAAUGCAUAGAUAUCACGCAGAACCCCGAUUGCGAAGGCAGCAUACCGGCGCUCAACUGACGCUGAGGCACGAAAGUGCGGGUAUCGAACAGG
rnacentral:rRNA from 1 species